GUACAUUAAUUUCGUACUUAUAUUAAAACUGAAAUGAUAGAGAAGAUUAGCAUGGCCCAUAUGCAAGGAUGACAUGCAAAUCUAAAAUAUUCCACAUAAAAACUUUAU